AGGGGUGGGUAAUCGCAAUUUCAUCAUUAGCAGUCGAACAUUUAGAGUUAAUUUCUGUGUUAGUGAAUAAUUCUGAAAGAUGUUAAUCAAACAUACCAAAGCUUAUUUGAAAUAUUUAACCAAAUGAUAUUAAUGAAGAUCAAAGCGGGGCUGUUUUUAGCGGAUGUUAUGCGAAAGGCCUGGGUAAUAGCUGGGUCCAUAGGAGCACAUGAAACACUUUGUCUUCUGCUAAAUAUUUCAUGCCCGCUACCUGUUGUAUGGUGCUUAAUGAGCUAUGGGGGGAAAAUGGUGAUUUAUCAUGCAAAGUUUUCAAAGGAAAUGCAAAUUUGGAUAUGCACGCACACACAUACACACACACACACAGACUCAUACACUGAAGAGGAGCGCACGUUCUUUGCAGCUUUCUUACAUACAUUUUUUUUUUUUGGAAGUUGCAUAGCCAUAGCCACACCACAUUUUCCAGGGUGAAUAUUUUAGCCCUGAAGAAAAGCAAACUCAAGCAAGAGCAAGAAUCAGGGGUCAAUGGUGUGUCUUUAAAGAAACUUUCCUUCUCUUCGCCUCCCGACUCAGCUCCGUUCCUCCCUCGAAUACUAAUGUCAGCAGCGGAGAGGAAAACGGGGAGAGAUGACAGAAACACCAUGGACGUUAUAUGUCAGGGACAGGGGUCAGCUGUCACCCAUUAACACAAUUAAUCCUCAAGGUUUAAAGUGUAUGUUUUAGAUUUCUUUUUUUCUUUAAAAAGCAAUAAUUCUGCAGUUUUGGAUUACCAGAAGAGAAAGAGAAGAUGAGAGCUGGAUAUAUAAAAUCUUGGAACAUCAUACCAUCACAUGCUCCGCAAGUUGCAGAGACAAUUCGCACUUUUCUCCAUACUGCAGGUCACCAGAUAUCACAAGCUGUGCUGCCCUGCCUGGGAAGCUGGACACACUUGGAUUGAGCUGAGCUUGAAACAUCUGUCAGCACUCCGGACUCCGCUGGCGAGGAAGAGAGAGAGCGAGAGAGAGAGAGAGAGCAGAGGGCCCUGGUAUGUAGCGCAGGCCCUGGCGCAGGAAUCGCUGGAGCUGCUUAGCCUGGCACGGCUGAUUUGUUUAUUUGCCCUGACCUCGCGUUCGCGCCGAGGUUACGGGGACCUAGUGAAAGGAACCAUUGUGCUGUGGGGGGAAAAAAAAUCUGUUACAAAUAUUUACCAUGGAGGGAAUGCAAAGCCGUGGCCUGCAGCCAGCCAGACUCAAGCUGUAAAAUUCACUGCAUUGCAUUUUUUGAAUUAG
rnacentral:lncRNA from 1 species